GGGGGCGUAGCUCAGUUGGGAGAGCGCUUGGUUCGCAUUCAAGAGGUCAUGGGUUCGAAUCCCACCGUCUCCACCA
rnacentral:tRNA from 7 species